UUAAGCGACUAAGCGUACACGGUGGAUGCCCUGGCAGUCAGAGGCGAUGAAGGACGUGCUAAUCUGCGAUAAGCGUCGGUAAGGUGAUAUGAACCGUUAUAACCGGCGAUUUCCGAAUGGGGAAACCCAGUGUGUUUCGACACACUAUCAUUAACUGAAUCCAUAGGUUAAUGAGGCGAACCGGGGGAACUGAAACAUCUAAGUACCCCGAGGAAAAGAAAUCAACCGAGAUUCCCCCAGUAGCGGCGAGCGAACGGGGAGCAGCCCAGAGCCUGAAUCAGUGUGUGUGUUAGUGGAAGCGUCUGGAAAGGCGCGCGAUACAGGGUGACAGCCCCGUACACAAAAAUGCACAUGCUGUGAGCUCGAUGAGUAGGGCGGGACACGUGGUAUCCUGUCUGAAUAUGGGGGGACCAUCCUCCAAGGCUAAAUACUCCUGACUGACCGAUAGUGAACCAGUACCGUGAGGGAAAGGCGAAAAGAACCCCGGCGAGGGGAGUGAAAAAGAACCUGAAACCGUGUACGUACAAGCAGUGGGAGCACGCUUAGGCGUGUGACUGCGUACCUUUUGUAUAAUGGGUCAGCGACUUAUAUUCUGUAGCAAGGUUAACCGAAUAGGGGAGCCGAAGGGAAACCGAGUCUUAACUGGGCGUUAAGUUGCAGGGUAUAGACCCGAAACCCGGUGAUCUAGCCAUGGGCAGGUUGAAGGUUGGGUAACACUAACUGGAGGACCGAACCGACUAAUGUUGAAAAAUUAGCGGAUGACUUGUGGCUGGGGGUGAAAGGCCAAUCAAACCGGGAGAUAGCUGGUUCUCCCCGAAAGCUAUUUAGGUAGCGCCUCGUGAAUUCAUCUCCGGGGGUAGAGCACUGUUUCGGCAAGGGGGUCAUCCCGACUUACCAACCCGAUGCAAACUGCGAAUACCGGAGAAUGUUAUCACGGGAGACACACGGCGGGUGCUAACGUCCGUCGUGAAGAGGGAAACAACCCAGACCGCCAGCUAAGGUCCCAAAGUCAUGGUUAAGUGGGAAACGAUGUGGGAAGGCCCAGACAGCCAGGAUGUUGGCUUAGAAGCAGCCAUCAUUUAAAGAAAGCGUAAUAGCUCACUGGUCGAGUCGGCCUGCGCGGAAGAUGUAACGGGGCUAAACCAUGCACCGAAGCUGCGGCAGCGACGCUUAUGCGUUGUUGGGUAGGGGAGCGUUCUGUAAGCCUGUGAAGGUGUGCUGUGAGGCAUGCUGGAGGUAUCAGAAGUGCGAAUGCUGACAUAAGUAACGAUAAAGCGGGUGAAAAGCCCGCUCGCCGGAAGACCAAGGGUUCCUGUCCAACGUUAAUCGGGGCAGGGUGAGUCGACCCCUAAGGCGAGGCCGAAAGGCGUAGUCGAUGGGAAACAGGUUAAUAUUCCUGUACUUGGUGUUACUGCGAAGGGGGGACGGAGAAGGCUAUGUUGGCCGGGCGACGGUUGUCCCGGUUUAAGCGUGUAGGCUGGUUUUCCAGGCAAAUCCGGAAAAUCAAGGCUGAGGCGUGAUGACGAGGCACUACGGUGCUGAAGCAACAAAUGCCCUGCUUCCAGGAAAAGCCUCUAAGCAUCAGGUAACAUCAAAUCGUACCCCAAACCGACACAGGUGGUCAGGUAGAGAAUACCAAGGCGCUUGAGAGAACUCGGGUGAAGGAACUAGGCAAAAUGGUGCCGUAACUUCGGGAGAAGGCACGCUGAUAUGUAGGUGAAGUCCCUCGCGGAUGGAGCUGAAAUCAGUCGAAGAUACCAGCUGGCUGCAACUGUUUAUUAAAAACACAGCACUGUGCAAACACGAAAGUGGACGUAUACGGUGUGACGCCUGCCCGGUGCCGGAAGGUUAAUUGAUGGGGUUAGCGCAAGCGAAGCUCUUGAUCGAAGCCCCGGUAAACGGCGGCCGUAACUAUAACGGUCCUAAGGUAGCGAAAUUCCUUGUCGGGUAAGUUCCGACCUGCACGAAUGGCGUAAUGAUGGCCAGGCUGUCUCCACCCGAGACUCAGUGAAAUUGAACUCGCUGUGAAGAUGCAGUGUACCCGCGGCAAGACGGAAAGACCCCGUGAACCUUUACUAUAGCUUGACACUGAACAUUGAGCCUUGAUGUGUAGGAUAGGUGGGAGGCUUUGAAGUGUGGACGCCAGUCUGCAUGGAGCCGACCUUGAAAUACCACCCUUUAAUGUUUGAUGUUCUAACGUUGACCCGUAAUCCGGGUUGCGGACAGUGUCUGGUGGGUAGUUUGACUGGGGCGGUCUCCUCCUAAAGAGUAACGGAGGAGCACGAAGGUUGGCUAAUCCUGGUCGGACAUCAGGAGGUUAGUGCAAUGGCAUAAGCCAGCUUGACUGCGAGCGUGACGGCGCGAGCAGGUGCGAAAGCAGGUCAUAGUGAUCCGGUGGUUCUGAAUGGAAGGGCCAUCGCUCAACGGAUAAAAGGUACUCCGGGGAUAACAGGCUGAUACCGCCCAAGAGUUCAUAUCGACGGCGGUGUUUGGCACCUCGAUGUCGGCUCAUCACAUCCUGGGGCUGAAGUAGGUCCCAAGGGUAUGGCUGUUCGCCAUUUAAAGUGGUACGCGAGCUGGGUUUAGAACGUCGUGAGACAGUUCGGUCCCUAUCUGCCGUGGGCGCUGGAGAACUGAGGGGGGCUGCUCCUAGUACGAGAGGACCGGAGUGGACGCAUCACUGGUGUUCGGGUUGUCAUGCCAAUGGCACUGCCCGGUAGCUAAAUGCGGAAGAGAUAAGUGCUGAAAGCAUCUAAGCACGAA
rnacentral:rRNA from 1 species